ensembl:snRNA U2 U2 spliceosomal RNA
AAAUUUUUUCGAAAGAAAAAAAAAAUCUGUUCUUAUCAGUUUAAUACCUGAUACGUCCUCCAUUCGAGGACUUUAUAUUAAACGGAUUUUUUAGAGCGAGGAGCUGGAAGAGGGGCUUGCUCCGUCCGCUCCACGCAUCGACCUGGUAUUGCAGUACUCCAGGAACGGUGCACCUUUU